UGGCGGACGGGUGAGUAAUGUCUGGGAAACUGCCUGGUGGAGGGGGAUAACUACUGGAAACGGUAGCUAAUACCGCAUAAUGUCGCAAGACCAAAGAGGGGGACCUUCGGGCCUCUUGCCAUCGGAUGUGCCCAGAUGGGAUUAGUUAGUAGGUGGGGUAACGGCUCACCUAGGCGACGAUCCCUAGCUGGCCUGAGAGGAUGACCAGCCACACUUGAACUGAGACACGGUCCAG
rnacentral:rRNA from 1 species